UUAACUAGAGGGUUUGAUCCUGGCUCAGGACGAACGCUGGCGGCGUGCCUAACACAUGCAAGUCGAGCGGUCUUAUAGCGAGAAGUGACUUGUCACUUCAUGCUACAAGAUAGCGGCGGACGGGUGAGUAACACGUGGGUAACCUGCCUUAUACAAAGGGAUAACACCGGGAAACCGGUGCUAAUACCGUAUAACAUAUAUCUUGGGCAUCUGAGAUAUAUCAAAGGCAUAUCGUAAAGGUAAGCCGGUAUAAGAUGGGCCCGCGUCCGAUUAGCUAGUUGGUGGGGUAAAAGCUUACCAAGGCAACGAUCGGUAGCCGGACUGAGAGGUUGACCGGCCACAUUGGGACUGAGACACGGCCC
rnacentral:rRNA from 1 species